rnacentral:rRNA from 1 species
ACACAUGCAAGUCGAACGAGAAUCUACUGAAAGAGUUUUCGGACGAUGGAAGUAGAGGAAAGUGGCGGACGGGUGAGUAACGCGUGAGGAACCUGCCUUGAAGAGGGGGACAACAGUUGGAAACGACUGCUAGUACCGCAUGAAGCAUAGGGGUCGCAUGAUUCUUAUGCCAAAGAUUUAUCGCUUCAAGAUGGCCUCGCGUCUGAUUAGCUAGUUGGCGGGGUAACGGCCCACCAAGGCGACGAUCAGUAGCCGGACUGAGAGGUUGAACGGCCACAUUGGGACUGAGAUACGGCCCAGACUCCUACGGGAGGCAGCAGUGGGGAAUAUUGGGCAAUGGGCGCAAGCCUGACCCAGCAACGCCGCGUGAAGGAAGAAGGCUUUCGGGUUGUAAACUUCUUUUAAGAGGGAAGAGCAGAAGACGGUACCUCUAGAAUAAGCCACGGCUAACUACGUGCCAGCAGCCGCGGUAAUACGUAGGUGGCAAGCGUUGUCCGGAUUUACUGGGUGUAAAGGGCGUGCAGCCGGGUCUGCAAGUCAGAUGUGAAAUCCAUGGGCUCAACCCAUGAACUGCAUUUGAAACUGUAGAUCUUGAGUGUCGGAGGGGCAAUCGGAAUUCCUAGUGUAGCGGUGAAAUGCGUAGAUAUUAGGAGGAACACCAGUGGCGAAGGCGGAUUGCUGGACGAUAACUGACGGUGAGGCGCGAAAGUGUGGGGAGCAAACAGGAUUAGAUACCCUGGUAGUCCACACUGUAAACGAUGAAUACUAGGUGUGCGGGGACUGACCCC